UACGAAGGGGGCUAGCGUUGUUCGGAAUUACUGGGCGUAAAGGGCGCGCAGGCGGCCGCUCAAGUCAGAUGUGAAAGCCCCGGGCUCAACCUGGGAACUGCAUUUGAUACUGAGUGGCUAGAGUUCGGGAGAGGAGAGUGGAAUUCCCAGUGUAGAGGUGAAAUUCGUAGAUAUUGGGAAGAACACCGGUGGCGAAGGCGGCUCUCUGGACCGAUACGUGACGCUGAGGCGCGAAAGCGUGGGGAGCAAACAGG
rnacentral:rRNA from 1 species